rnacentral:lncRNA from 1 species
CUUGGCAAUACUGUUUACCAUGUCAAGCAAGAGCCGAAUAGGAAAAGGUCAUCCCAUGGCACUUCAUGGUGAAGGUAAAGAAAAGAAUUUGUCCAUAAAGAAACCUCUCAAUAAGAGAAAGUAGGGUCAUUAUAGGAAAUUCACUCCAUCAAAUUAAUAAAAGUCCCAUCCCACCAUCUUCCCCUUUUUUUUUUUUUUUUUUUGCUAGUGCGGGUCGAUCAUACCCGGCGAGAGCGGAUAGACCCAAUAAAGUCGAAAAAUAAAAUACCUCGGAGUGCCAAGGGCAACUCCCCAUCACCAAGCCAUAAGGUGUCUCCGGAGUGACAAGCUACAAACGCAGCUACCCAAUCCGCAGCACCGUUACCUUCACGGUAAAUAUGCGUGGCCUGAAAGGCCCAUCCAUCCCUCGCCAUGGCCCAGAUGUCCCGGAGCAGGGGAUGGUCACACCCGCCACCCCUCGGACCCCCCUGGAUCCAACUAAUAACGGUGGCUGAGUCGCCCUCCAGGAUGAUAGACCUAGCCCGUAGGACGCAUCGGGCAUAGCGAACGCCCGCCCAGGCUGCACUCAGCUCCGCACAUGGAACCGACGUAUCAAAUAA